rnacentral:rRNA from 1 species
GACGAACUCUGGCGGCGUGCCUAAUACAUGCAAGUAGAACGAGUGGCGGACGGGUGAGUAAUGUCUGGGAAACUGCACGCUGGAGGGGGAUAACUACUGGAAACGGUAGCUCAUACCGCAUCCCAUCGGAUGUGCCCAGAUGGGAUGAGCUAGUAGGUGGGGUAACGGCUCACCUAGUCGACGCUCCCUAGCUGGUCUGAGAGGAUGACCAGCCACACGGGAACUGAGACACGGUCCAGACUCCUACGGGAGGCAGCAGUGGGGAAUAUUGCACAAUGGGCGCAAGCCUGAUGCAGCCAUGCCGCGUGUAUGAAGAAGGCCUUCGGGUUGUAAAGUACUGUCAGCGAGGAGGCGUUACUCGCAGAAGAAGCACCGGCUAACUCCGGGCCAGCAGCCGCGGUAAUAC